UACGUAGGGUGCAAGCGUUGUCCGGAAUUAUUGGGCGUAAAGAGCUCGUAGGCGGCCUGUCGCGUCCGCUGUGAAAACCCGGGGCUUAACCCCGGGCCUGCAGUGGAUACGGGCAGGCUGGAGGCAGGCAGGGGAGAACGGGAAUUCCCGGUGUAGCGGUGAAAUGACGCAGAUAUCAGGAGGAACACCGGUGGCGAAGGCGGGUCUCUGGGCCGAUACUGACGCUGAGGAGCGAAAGCGUGGGGAGCGAACAGG
rnacentral:rRNA from 1 species